GGGCUACACGGACCCAGGGGGCGGAGCUAUGCGGGACUCAGGCUGCCACUGCCAGGGCUUGCUGCUGCACAUGGCUGGAGAAGAGGAGAUCUGCCUGCUGCACACGGUGCACAACAUCCAGGUCUGACCCAGCCAUUGACACUGCAUUGGUCUCUGCUGUAGUGUAAGGGGUUGCCCAGCAACAGUGACAUACUGCACGGUGAUUGGCUCCCUGCCCGGCGUUGCCGACGGAAGUCAGAGCCCUGUGAGCACUGUACAUCGCGGUGGGAAGCGUAAUUGAUGACGUCUUCAGUUAGGGGUUGCCUAGCAACGGGAGCUACAUUCCCGCGAUUGGUUCCCCGCUCGCCGUAGCAGUUGUACGUCAUUACCCUGCGACUGGGACACCUCGCAGUUGGACCCGACAUCACCAUCGGCGCCUGGACAGACCAAGGGCUGCAGCAAAUUGGCUGGUUACUAACCGACACAUCAAUGGCACAUACAUACAGCAGUUUAUAGCACAUCUAUGAAACAUUGCAACCCAGCAGAGCAGAAAUGAAAAGUGGUGCAAGAUGGAAUUGUCCUUGGGCCCUCCCUCCCACCCUUAUGUUGGAUAUUAAAAAGGACAUGCACAGUGUAACAAACCGAGCACUUCAGUGAAAGGGACUGACACUUUUGUGGCUGAAGUGCUUGCUUUAUUUGGGCCCUUACAAGACAUUUUUCUGGAAGGAUUACAGUACAUCCAAUCACAAAUGAGGAGGGUGAUGAUAAGAGUGUUAAUUACAUUAUGAUCUUACAAAAUAAAUUUCACAAACUCUCCGCAAAUUAUGUAACAUGGAGGAGGUGCCUAGAUGGCAAAUGUCCCUGCCUCAACUAACUUUGACCUCACAAAUGGAGCAGAUGCUGGUGUCAAAGAAGGCCUGAAGUAACAUUUUGUAGAAUCAAUGAAAAAAGACAUCCACCACACCACGGAAGAAUGGCAUGUUGGCCAGCCUAUUAUAAAAAAAAAAAGUUACCAAGCGGUUCAAUUUGAUGGUGACCUGUAUGUAGAUGAGACCUGGAUGUACAUGAAGACCCGGAUGUACAUGAAGACCCAGAUGUACAUAAAGAACUGGUUGUACAUGAAGAACCAGAUGUACAUUUAGAACUGGAUGCCUGGCCAAUUUGUACUUCAAUACUACACCAUUGGCAUUGGGCAACGUGGCAAUGGAAGUUCCCACAUUUAGCAACAAUUCAAGUGUUGUUUCGCCUGGAAGACCCAUCAUGUUCAGCACAGUGGCACAGAUGGAACUAAUAGCCACAUUUGGAAAUGAUAUGCCUGAUAUGCCACUAGCAGUCAUCUCCACAGGCUUGUACAACAGUCUGUACAGUGCAUGCAAGGGAGAAAUACACAGAUACAAUAUGCACAAACUCUCUUCCAACACCAUGUGCAUUAUGAAUUGUUCUUGAUGUGGGCCACACGUGUCAACUAUGAUGGCACCAUCCUCUCAAGAUGCAACCAGCUAUACAGCACAAUCUGUGCACUGUACCUAUCCCACUAUGACUUUGUUCAUGUUAGCCUAAGUGUUGUGAUUGCUUGUGAUGUUAAUAAAAAAAACUUGAGAAAAAACA